CCAUGACGUACAAAGACACACUGAGCCAGUAUGAUCCGACCAGACCUUACAUCAGCAUUGAGGAGUUGUCGGAGAAGAAAGAGGCUGAUUGAAGCGGGACAGAUGACAUGGAUCCAUCCUUCCACAGCCAGGAGUGCACCGACCUGUGUCCCACACUUCAUAUAAGACUGGAAGCUACACUGAUCUCACAGCUACACACCACAGACGUCUACACACUGGAGAAGAGUCCCACAAAGAAGUCAUGACCCAGAGGCUGCAGAGAAACAUUUCAAGCCUCAUCUGAGUUUUUGUACAAUAUUUUUGCUGUAUGUAAAUAAAGCUUUCACUCCACAUA